GGAUGGCCGAGUUGGUCUAAGGCGACGGCUUAAGGCGCCGUUCUCUUCGGGGGCGUGGGUUCGAAUCCCACUUCUG
rnacentral:tRNA from 1 species